rfam:[Candida] intermedia strain CBS 141442 genome assembly, organelle: mitochondrion
GCUUAGGUAGUUCAAUGGUUAGAACAGAUGCCUCAUAUGCAUCUAAUGUAGGUUCGAUUCCUACCUUAGGCA